CACCAAUGUCAAAUGGGUCUGCUGCCUUGCGAGUCGGCCCCUCCUCAAUUAUAUCCAUGCCAUCUGUUCCAGUUUGGGAAGCUACAAUUGCAGUUUCAUGAAUGGAGACCAAGUUGGAUGGGCGGAUUUAAUGAGUGCUGCUAAUCCACUCACAUGAGGACAAGCCAUUGAAGUUCCUGAUAAGAAGGCAAACCCAUUGCUAGUUCCAGCAUCAACUGGUGAAUAAGCUGCUAAGAUGUUCACUCCUGGGGCAGCAACAUCGGGCUGCAUCAUCAACCAAACACGAAUUAUAAGGAGACAAGCACAGCAGGAGACAUGGAACUGGGUCCUCUGGACGAGAAAUAUGCAACAUGUGGAGAUGCCCAUUUCCCUGUAACAGUCUUUGGAAAUUUCAGCUUUGCAGUAGGAGACCUUCACCGACAAGUUUAUGAGGAAUUAAAUCACAUGACUCAAGCUGACUGGUGGGGAACUGUGCAAAAAUAAGUCCAAUGCCUCCUGCUUCCAGCACUGCACCUGAUGCAGAAAUUAUAUCCUGUUUGUCCGAUUUUGAGAAACAGAGGAUAAUUUUUCCUGCUGCUAAUGUUGCAUUGAGGCUUCCAGGCUGACAGUCCUUUCUGCAACAAGGGUAUGAAGUAUUAGAAAAUGCGGGAGAAAGUAGAAGAAAAUAGUAAAUGAAGCAAAGCCUCUCACGCUGAAUCGUCCUUUGGGUCUAAAGCUACGCGUUCUGAAUAAGUGAGACCAGUGAAUCCAAGUUUAUGCUUUCCUGUAUCAAUAGAUUGACCC